UAAAACGCAAUGAACGGGAGUAGUAAAGGGCCAAUGUCUACAGAGAGCUACGGGACGGUGUGACGUAGCGGCAGAAUCCUUCGAAUCUCGCCCGGGAGCGCAAGCGGUGGAAGUAUAAGUACACCAGCUUCGGCUUACCCCCGAUAUAGGGACUUCUUGACAGAUACGGCUCUGGAUAGCGUACUUUGAAGAGGAUAAGUGGGGUGUCUAGACUGUAAUUCUAAGUCGUAAUGGCAUCAACAAGAGUGGUACCGCGGAAGGUGAAAGCCUGUCGUCUCUUAU
rnacentral:ncRNA from 1 species